rnacentral:rRNA from 1 species
UGGGGAAUUUUGGACAAUGGGCGAAAGCCUGAUCCAGCAAUGCCGCGUGUGUGAAGAAGGCCUUCGGGUUGUAAAGCACUUUUGUCCGGAAAGAAAUCCUUGGCUCUAAUACAGUCGGGGGAUGACGGUACCGGAAGAAUAAGCACCGGCUAACUACGUGCCAGCAGCCGCGGUAAUACGUAGGGUGCAAGCGUUAAUCGGAAUUACUGGGCGUAAAGCGUGCGCAGGCGGUUUGCUAAGACCGAUGUGAAAUCCCCGGGCUCAACCUGGGAACUGCAUUGGUGACUGGCAGGCUAGAGUAUGGCAGAGGGGGGUAGAAUUCCACGUGUAGCAGUGAAAUGCGUAGAGAUGUGGAGGAAUACCGAUGGCGAAGGCAGCCCCCUGGGCCAAUACUGACGCUCAUGCACGAAAGCGUGGGGAGCAAACAGGAUUAGAUACCCUGGUAGUCCACGCCCUAAACGAUGUCAACUAGUUGUUGGGGAUUCAUUUCUAGUAACGUAGCUAACGCGUGAAGUUGACCGCCUGGGGAGUACGGUCGCAAGAUUAAAACUUAAAUGAAUUGACGGGGUCAUAGCUGUUUCCU